UACGAAGGGGGGCUAGCGUUGCUCGGAAUCACUGGGCGUAAAGCGCACGUAGGCGGAUUGCUAAGUCAGGGGUGAAAUCCUGGAGCUCAACUCCAGAACUGCCUUUGAUACUGGUGAUCUUGAGUCCGGGGAGAGGUGAGUGGAACUGCGAGUGUAGAGGUGAAAUUCGUAGAUAUUCGCAAGAACACCAGUGGCGAAGGCGGCUCACUGGCCCGGUACUGACGCUGAGGUGCGAAAGCGUGGGGAGCAAACAGGG
rnacentral:rRNA from 1 species